AGUGAACGCUGGCGGUAGGCCUAACACAUGCAAGUCGAACGGCAGCACAGUAAGAGCUUGCUCUUACGGGUGGCGAGUGGCGGACGGGUGAGGAAUACAUCGGAAUUUACUUUUUCGUGGGGGAUAACGUAGGGAAACUUACGCUAAUACCGCAUACGACCUACGGGUGAAAGCAGGGGAUCUUCGGACCUUGCGCGAUUGAAUGAGCCGAUGUCGGAUUAGCUAGUUGGCGGCGUAAAGGCCCACCAAGGCGACGAUCCGUAGCUGGUCUGAGAGGAUGAUCAGCCACACUGGAACUGAGACACGGUCCAGACUCCUACGGGAGGCAGCAGUGGGGAAUAUUGGACAAUGGGCGCAAGCCUGAUCCAGCCAUACCGCGUGGGUGAAGAAGGCCUUCGGGUUGUAAAGCCCUUUUGUUGGGAAAGAAAAGCAGCAGGUUAAUACCCCGCUGUUCUGACGGUACCCAAAGAAUAAGCACCGGCUAACUUCGUG
rnacentral:rRNA from 1 species